GGUCUUUCAAUGGUCUCCAUUCUGUGGAAUGGGGGCCUUACUCUGGGGUGGCAGUUGCUCUUGGCAAGAAAAAAAAAUCUCUAGUCAGUAUGCAGACGAUUGGUGUUCAGCCAACUGCAUGAUCUAGGAGAAAGAUGGUUGGUGGUGGCAGAAACCGCAUUGGUGCUGGCAGACCGUCAAAGGAUUGUUUGAAAACCAGGAAAGAAACUGCCGUUCAGUUCUCAGCGUAUUCCUAGACGCAAAGCAUAACAUUAGUGAAUGUGUUAAAAAAUAAUCAAUCUCUUGGUAAAGCACAUUCUACAAAGUAAUGGCCGAGCUCUAUUGAAAUAACUACCCUUAGUGAUAUUUUCCUUUCAUGACUUCUAAGAAUGUUUUUGUUUUUAAUUGUUAAAAGAAUGAAUUGGCAAGUACAUACUGUACAUGUACAUGUUUGUCAUGUCAUUAUGAUGAAGUCUUGGACACCCCCCCCCCCCUUCAUCUAACAUGCAGUUUUAUUAAAUAACUAUUAAAGUGUCAUGUCUCGAGAUGUACUUCACUUUUAUAUGCUAUUUAUGAUACAAAUAUUGUUUUUUUUAUUUGAGUUUGAUAUUUACUCUUGCGUGUUAGUAUAAUAAUUGACAUGCUUGGUAACAGCGGAAAUACUUUUUUUUACCCAUACCCUACUUUUUUAUGAGUAUGCCAAAGAACAAUAUUUCAAAGUGUGGCAUGAAAUCUGGUAGUCAUGGAGAAGAGAUUAAGAACAGGCCUUUAGAGCCAGAUCAAUAUAGUUGAACAAAAUGAGAUUUCAAAACUUUUUUUAGAAGUUUAUUUCAGUAAGGUGAUUCAGAGAAAUUAAAGUAAUUUUGGAACACAGCAUGCAUGUUGUAUUGUCCAGGUAGCGGUAAAUUUUUAACAUUGAGAAACCAAGUUGCCAAUUUGAGAUUUGUAUACAUGUCGUGUUCUUAUUUUUCAAAGUGCCCUUUAAUACAUGUACUUCUCAUUCCUUGUCGAAAUUUCCUUCAAACUUUCAUGCUCAUUUUUAUCUUUUUAUUCUCCCUUCACAUAAAUCUCAUUAUUACUAAAGUAUGAUCCCUGAAUAAAUGGUAAGCGGAUUUAGGGACACUUGUAAAAUUUACUAAUGCACAUACUUUAAUUUUAAAACUCAAAAUUUAAAAUUCAAUCUUAUCUUUAAUGUCAUUCCUUUCAAUAAAAUUCAAAAUUAUCUAUGAACAGUUUUUGUAUUUUAUGGACUAGCUGCAACAGUUUAGGAAACAUUUGCUACAUUGAAGUUAAGGCAUAGUGGCAUACACGUCUGUUUUAUUUCAUGUGACAGUAGACACCAAAGUAAUUUAGAGCUUAAAUCUAAUGUAUAUAUAGUUCAGUGGUGGUAUUUGAUUUUCAAAUGAUAUUCAAAUAUUUUGCCAAAAAUCUAUAUGCAUGUAUGUUACAAGCUCUUAUAUCAGCAGUUUAGGAAAAUAUUAAAAAAAAAAAACUAUAGACUGCUUUUGCCCACAAAAAUUAGUAUUAAAAUUUGUUGAAAUAAUAAUGAAAUUUUUAAAUAGAUUAAUUCAUUUUUUAUAUCCCCCAAAUGUGGAAAAAAGUUCAUUUAAACAUGUUAGUAUAUGGCAGGCAAUGAAUGGUGACAUAAGUGACUAGAUAUAUCAUUACCCAAGAAUAGCCCAAUCAGUGA